GCCUGAGUGGCUCAGUUGGUCGAGCACCUGACUCUUGAUUUCAGCUCAGGUCUUGAUCUCAGGUCGUGGGAUCGAGUCCCGCCUUGGCG
rnacentral:tRNA from 1 species